UUUAUAUUAUAUACAUUUUUAAAUACUUUUUCCUUUUAUUUAUUUUACGUCCUGGUAUUAUACUCCAAAGAAUCCCAGGUGGGGAUUAUACCACCUACGCCUUUAUCAUAGAGCAGUUAGCCAGCCCUAUACACUGUGAGUAUAUUUUAUUAUUUUAUACAUCAACAAUAUUUUAUUGAGAGCACGAUCGCCGUUUUAUCUUCUCU